ACCUUUCCCUCAUAAAACUUACCAGAGCAAUACGAUCAAAAGAUUAAAACUUAAAGAACUUGGCGGUUUUUUAGAUCUCCUUGGAGGAGCUUGUCAUUGAAUUGAUAACCCACAAGAAACCUUACCUUUUUAAGAAAAACAGCCUGUAUACCAUCGUCGUCAGCUCACCUCAUUAGAGAGUGAACCAAAAGGAUACCGUCCUAAACGUCAGAUCAAGGUGCAGCCAAUAAGAAGGGAAUAGAUGAGCUACUUUAUCUAAGAUAGCAAGAGGAAGUAAAGAUGAAAGAUCUUACCGAAAAAGGAUUCAACAGUAACUAGGUAAAUAGAGAUUUAGUGAAGUAAGCUCUAAAAUGCG
rnacentral:rRNA from 1 species